rnacentral:rRNA from 1 species
AACGAACGCUGGCGGCAGGCUUAACACAUGCAAGUCGAGCGCCCCGCAAGGGGAGCGGCAGACGGGUGAGUAACGCGUGGGAAUCUACCGUGCCCUAAGGAAUAGCUCCGGGAAACUGGAAUUAAUACCUUAUACGCCCUUCGGGGGAAAGAUUUAUCGGGGUAUGAUGAGCCCGCGUUGGAUUAGCUAGUUGGUGGGGUAAAGGCCUACCAAGACGACGAUCCAUAGCUGGUCUGAGAGGAUGAUCAGCCACAUUGGGACUGAGACACGGCCCAAACUCCUACGGGAGGCAGCAGUGGGGAAUAUUGGACAAUGGGCGCAAGCCUGAUCCAGCCAUGCCGCGUGAGUGAUGAAGGCCCUAGGGUUGUAAAGCUCUUUCACCGGUGAAGAUAAUGACGGUAACCGGAGAAGAAGCCCCGGCUAACUUCGUGCCAGCAGCCGCCGUAAAAC